rnacentral:rRNA from 1 species
CUGGCUCAGGAUGAACGCUGGCGGUCUGCUUAACACAUGCAAGUCGAACGCAACCUUCGGGUUGAGUGGCGGACGGGUGAGUAACGCGUGAGAAUCUGCCUUGGGGUCGGGGACAACCACUGGAAACGGUGGCUAAUACCGGAUAAGCCUUUGGGUAAAAGAUUUAUUGCCCCAAGAGGAGCUCGCGUCUGAUUAGCUAGUUGGUGAGGUAAAAGCUCACCAAGGCAGCGAUCAGUAGCUGGUCUGAGAGGACGAUCAGCCACACUGGGACUGAGACACGGCCCAGACUCCUACGGGAGGCAGCAGUGGGGAAUUUUCCGCAAUGGGCGAAAGCCUGACGGAGCAAGACCGCGUGAGGGAGGAAGGCUCUUGGGUUGUAAACCUCUUUUCUCAGGGAAGAAGCUCUGACGGUACCUGAGGAAUCAGCCUCGGCUAACUCCGUGCCAGCAGCCGCGGUAAUACGGAGGAGGCAAGCGUUAUCCGGAAUUAUUGGGCGUAAAGCGUCCGCAGGUGGCGAUUCAAGUCUGCUGUCAAAGCACGGGGCUUAACUCCGUUAAGGCAGUGGAAACUGAAUAGCUAGAGUGCCGUAGGGGUAGAGGGAAUUCCCGGUGUAGCGGUGAAAUGCGUAGAGAUCGGGAAGAACAUCGGUGGCGAAAGCGCUCUACUGGACGGCAACUGACACUCAGGGACGAAAGCUAGGGGAGCGAAUGGGAUUAGAUACCCCAGUAGUCCUAGCUGUAAACGAUGGAUACUAGGUGUAGCUUGUAUCGACCCGAGCUGUGCCGAAGCUAACGCGUUAAGUAUCCCGCCUGGGGAGUACGCACCGCAAGUGUGAAACUCCAAGGAAUUGACGGGGGCCCGCACAAGCGGUGGAGUAUGUGGUUUAAUUCGAUGCAACGCGAAG